rnacentral:rRNA from 1 species
AUGCUUAACACAUGCAAGUCGAACGGUAACAUUUCUAGCUUGCUAGAAGAUGACGAGCGGCGGACGGGUGAGUAAUGCUUGGGAAUAUGCCUUAUGGUGGGGGACAACAGUUGGAAACGACUGCUAAUACCGCAUAACGUCUACGGACCAAAGGGGGGGAUCUUCGGACCUCUCGCCAUUUGAUUAGCCCAAGUGAGAUUAGCUAGUUGGUAAGGUAAUGGCUUACCAAGGCGACGAUCUCUAGCUGGUUUGAGAGGAUGAUCAGCCACACUGGGACUGAGACACGGCCCAGACUCCUACGGGAGGCAGCGGUGGGGAAUAUUGCACAAUGGGCGAAAGCCUGAUGCAGCCAUGCCGCGUGUGUGAAGAAGGCCUUCGGGUUGUAAAGCACUUUCAGUUGUGAGGAAAGGGGUGUAGUUAAUAGCUGCAUGCUGUGACGUUAACAACAGAAGAAGCACCGGCUAACUUCGUGCCAGCAGCCGCGGUAAUACGAGGGGUGCAAGCGUUAAUCGGAAUUACUGGGCGUAAAGCGUUCGUAGGCGGUUUGUUAAGCAAGAUGUGAAAGCCCAGGGCUCAACCUUGGAACUGCAUUUUGAACUGGCAAACUAGAGUACUGUAGAGGGUGGUGGAAUUUCCAGUGUAGCGGUGAAAUGCGUAGAGAUCGGAAGGAACACCAGUAG